rnacentral:rRNA from 1 species
UGAGGAAUAUUGGUCAAUGGGCGAGAGCCUGAACCAGCCAAGUCGCGUGAAGGAUGAAGGUUCUAUGGAUUGUAAACUUCUUUUGUCCGAGGGUAAAAAAGGCUACGUGUAGCUUCUUGCAAGUAUCGGACGAAUAAGCAUCGGCUAACUCCGUGCCAGCAGCCGCGGUAAUACGGAGGAUGCGAGCGUUAUCCGGAUUUAUUGGGUUUAAAGGGUGCGCAGGCGGCGCGCCAAGUCAGCGGUCAAAUGUCAGGGCCCAACCUUGGCAUGCCGUUGAUACUGGCGGCCUUGAGUUCACACAAGGAAGGUGGAAUUCGUCGUGUAGCGGUGAAAUGCUUAGAUAUGACGAAGAACUCCGAUUGCGAAGGCAGCCUUCUGGGGUGUUACUGACGCUGAGGCUCGAAAGUGCG